UGCAAGUCGAGCGGACAGAUGGGAGCUUGCUCCCUGAUGUUAGCGGCGGACGGGUGAGUAACACGUGGGUAACCUGCCUGUAAGACUGGGAUAACUCCGGGAAACCGGGGCUAAUACCGGAUGGUUGUUUGAACCGCAUGGUUCAGACAUAAAAGGUGGCUUCGGCUACCACUUACAGAUGGACCCGCGGCGCAUUAGCUAGUUGGUGAGGUAACGGCUCACCAAGGCGACGAUGCGUAGCCGACCUGAGAGGGUGAUCGGCCACACUGGGACUGAGACACGGCCCAGACUCCUACGGGAGGCAGCAGUAGGGAAUCUUCCGCAAUGGACGAAAGUCUGACGGAGCAACGCCGCGUGAGUGAUGAAGGUUUUCGGAUCGUAAAGCUCUGUUGUUAGGGAAGAACAAGUGCCGUUCAAAUAGGGCGGCACCUUGACGGUACCUAACCAGAAAGCCACGGCUAACUACGUGCCAGCAGCCGCGGUAAUACGUAGGUGGCAAGCGUUGUCCGGAAUUAUUGGGCGUAAAGGGCUCGCAGGCGGUUUCUUAAGUCUGAUGUGAAAGCCCCCGGCUCAACCGGGGAGGGUCAUUGGAAACUGGGGAACUUGAGUGCAGAAGAGGAGAGUGGAAUUCCACGUGUAGCGGUGAAAUGCGUAGAGAUGUGGAGGAACACCAGUGGCGAAGGCGACUCUCUGGUCUGUAACUGACGCUGAGGAGCGAAAGCGUGGGGAGCGAACAG
rnacentral:rRNA from 1 species